UAGAAUAUGGUGUAAUAUGGUAGCACGGAGAUUUUUGAAUUCUUAGGAGUAGGUUCAAAUCCUGCAAUUCUAG
rnacentral:tRNA from 1 species